rfam:Oenococcus oeni PST-1, complete genome.
CAAUAAAAUAGAGGCGCGAUCAUCACAAAAACUGCUGAGUGUGUAUUCACGAUGAAGCAGUCCUAAGGGUUAUCGCCGAAACGAGAUUAUAAAUGCAUAUAAUCUUUGUUGGGACAUGUGGAAAAACCGCAUGGACUGUCUCGGUCAAUCCGGGGAGUGCUAUUAAUUGG